CUAGGGUUUGGGAGGGUUUGGGGGCGACGGGAUCUCGCCGCCGUCGCAGGAGAGGGCCGGUGCAGGAGCCUUCGAGCCGGCCGACGGUGGGCGGCACGGACGACGACGGCGUCCUCCCGCCGCGCUCCUGCUGAGGCGCACCUCUUUCCCCGCAUUGCCCCCUGUUCUCUUCGCCCCUUUGGUUCUUGCCCUGUUCGCCGGUGCCCGCUGCCUUCUUCUGCUCUCGUGGGCUGCAGUGCUGCUGCUGCCGCUGGUUUUCUCUACCUACUCUGCUUUUGGGUCACAUUGCCGGUGAUUGCCUCCUGCUGCAGUUGGUCAGGUAUGAGGUUUACGGAUUCUUUACCUUUGUGACCUGCACCUUUCCUUUUGUGUGUGUGCUGCCAUGCGUAUGUGUGGCCAGUGUUGCUGCCGCUGUGAUGUUGUUCAUACUUCAAUUUGGCCUGCGUCCAGCCCUUCCGUCCGUUAUGGUUUGUGCUAUGUGUAUACUACAGUAUGUUCAGGCGGCCUUUGCCAGUCAUUUGCGAGGAGUUUAUUAGCCCUGAUAGGCAGAUGCUUGGGUGGUCCUGCUCACCCCUUUGCCGCCUUCUUAGAAGUUUAGUCGAUUCUGUACAUUGGUGCUCGCGUGUCCCUGACGGGAGAUGUUUUUUUUCGUGUAGUUCCUUAGAUGGAUGUUCCUGGUCCUUCUCGCCGUCGU